ACCCUGGUGGUCUAGUAGUUAGGACUCUUGGUUUUCAUCCAAGUUACCCAGGUUCAGUUCCUGGGCAGGGAA
rfam:Ovis aries breed Texel chromosome 7, whole genome shotgun sequence.